CUGCAAUGGGGGGACGCAGGAGGAUAGGGUAAGCGCGGUAUUGGAUAUCCGCGUCCAAGCAGUUAGGCUGGGAAAUAGGCAAAUCCGUUUCCCAUAAGGCUGAGCUGUGAUGGCGAGCGAAAUAUAGUAGCGAAGUUCCUGAUUCCACACUGCCAAGAAAAGCCUCUAGCGAGGUGAGAGGUGCCCGUACCGCAAACCGUCACAGGUAGGCGAGGGGAGAAUCCUAAGGUGAUCGAGAGAACUCUCGUUAAGGAACUCGGCAAAAUGACCCCGUAACUUCGGGAGAAGGGGUGCUCUGUCAGGGUGCAAGCCCGAGAGAGCCGCAGUGAAUAGGCCCAGGCGACUGUUUAGCAAAAACACAGGUCUCUGCGAAGCCGUAAGGCGAAGUAUAGGGGCUGACGCCUGCCCGGUGCUGGAAGGUUAAGAGGAGCGCUUAGCGUAAGCGAAGGUGCGAAUUGAAGCCCCAGUAAACGGCGGCCGUAACAAUAACGGUCCUAAGGUAGCGAAAUUCCUUGUCGGGUAAGUUCCGACCCGCACGAAAGGCGCAACGAUCUGGGCACUGUCUCAACGAGAGACUCGGUGAAAUUAUAGUACCUGUGAAGAUGCAGGUUACCCGCGACAGGACGGAAAGACCCCGUGGAGCUUUACUGCAGCCUGAUAUUGAAUGUUGGUACAGCUUGUACAGGAUAGGUAGGAGCCUUGGAAACCGGAGCGCCAGCUUCGGUGGAGGCACCGGUGGGAUACUACCCUGGCUGUAUUGACCUUCUAACCCGCCGCCCUUAUCGGGCGGGGAGACAGUGUCAGGUGGGCAGUUUGACUGGGGCGGUCGCCUCCUAAAAGGUAACGGAGGCGCCCAAAGGUUCCCUCAGAAUGGUUGGAAAUCAUUCGCAGAGUGUAAAGGCACAAGGGAGCUUGACUGCGAGACCUACAAGUCGAGCAGGGACGAAAGUCGGGCUUAGUGAUCCGGUGGUUCCGCAUGGAAGGGCCAUCGCUCAACGGAUAAAAGCUACCCCGGGGAUAACAGGCUUAUCUCCCCCAAGAGUCCACAUCGACGGGGAGGUUUGGCACCUCGAUGUCGGCUCGUCGCAUCCUGGGGCUGUAGUCGGUCCCAAGGGUUGGGCUGUUCGCCCAUUAAAGCGGUACGCGAGCUGGGUUCAGAACGUCGUGGGACAGUUCGGUCCCUAUCCGUCGCGGGCGCAGGAAAUUUGAGAGGAGCUGUCCUUAGUACGAGAGGACCGGGAUGGACGCACCGCUGGUGUACCAGUUGUUCUGCCAAGGGCAUCGCUGGGUAGCUAUGUGCGGACGGGAUAAGUGCUGAAAGCAUCUAAGCAUGAAGCCCCCCUCAAGAUGAGAUUUCCCAUUCCGCAAGGAAGUAAGAUCCCUGAAAGAUGAUCAGGUUGAUAGGUCUGAGGUGGAAGUGUGGCAACACAUGGAGCUGACAGAUACUAAUCGAUCGAGGACUUAAUC
rnacentral:rRNA from 1 species